UGCAGUCGUACGAGUUCUCGUUGAUGAUAGGUGCUUGCACCGAGAUUCACAAGAAACGAGUGGCGGACGGGUGAGUAACACGUGGGUAACCUGCCCUUAAGUGGGGGAUAACAUUUGGAAACAGAUGCUAAUACCGCAUAGAUCCAAGAACCGCAUGGUUCUUGGCUGAAAGAUGGCGUAAGCUAUCGCUUUUGGAUGGACCCGCGGCGUAUUAGCUAGUUGGUGAGGUAAUGGCUCACCAAGGCGAUGAUACGUAGCCGAACUGAUAGGUUGAUCGGCCACAUUGGGACUGAGACACGGCCCAAACUCCUACGGGAGGCAGAAUUAGGGAAUCUUCCACAAUGGACGCAAGUCUGAUGGAGCAACGCCUCGUGAGUGAAGAAGGCUUUCGGGUCGUAAAACUCUGUUGUUGGAAAAAAAUGGUCAGCAGAUUAACUGUUGCCGGCGUGUCGGCAUCCAACCACAAAGCCACGGCUAACUACGUGCCAGCAGCCACGGAAAUACGUAGGUGGCAAGCGUUAUCCGGAUUUAUUGGGCGAGCAGCGCGCAGGCGGGUUUUUUAAGUCGAUUGUGUAAGACCCUCUGCCUGAUCGACGGAGGCGCAUCGGUAAACUGGGAGCUUGUGUGCAGAAAGAGGACCAGUGGAACUACCAUGUGUAGCGGUGAAAUGCGUAGAUAUAUAGAAGAACAACAGUGGCGAAGACGGGCGGUCUUGUCUGUAAUUGACGCUGAGGCUCGAAAAGCAUGGGUAGCGAACAGGAUUAGAUACCCUGGUAGUACAUCCCCGUAAACGAUGAAUGCUAGGAGUUGGAGGAUUUCCUCCCUUCAGUGCCGCAGCUAAUGCAUCAAGCAUUCCUCCUGGGGAGUAGGACCGCAAGGUUGAAACUCAAAGGAAUUGACGGGGGCCCGCACAAGCGGUGGAGCAUGUGGUUUAAUUAGAAGCAACACGAAGAACCUUACCAGGUCUUGACAUCUUUUGAUCACCUGAGAGAUCAGGUUUCCCCUUCUUGGGCAAAAUGACAGGUGGUGCAUGGUGGUCGUCAUCUCGUGUCGUGAGAAGUUGGGUUAAGUCCCGCAACGAGCGCAACCCUUAUGAUUAGUUGCCAGCAUUUAUUUGGGCACUCUAGUAAGACUGCCGGUGACAAACCGGAGGAAGGUGGGGAGGACGUCAAAUCAUCAUGCCCCUUAUGACCUGGGGUACACACGUGGUACAAUGGAUGGUACAACGAGUUGCGAGACCGUGAGGUCAAGCUAAUCUUUUAAAGCCAUUUUCAGUUCGGAGGGUAGGCGGCAACUCGCCUACACGAAGUAGGAAUCGCUAGUAAUCGUGGAUCAGCACCCCGCGGUGAAUACGUUCCCGGGCCUUGUACACUCCACCGGUCACCCCACCAGAGUUUGUAACACCCGCACCUGCCUUUUAACCCUUUUAGGGAGCGAGCCGUAUAAGGUGGACAAAUGAUUAGGGGGAAGUCGAAACAAGGGGCCCUAGCGCA
rnacentral:rRNA from 2 species